rnacentral:rRNA from 1 species
GAUCAUGGCUCAGAUUGAACGCUGGCGGCAUGCCUUACACAUGCAAGUCGAACGGCAGCACGGGAGCUUGCUCCUGGUGGCGAGUGGCGAACGGGUGAGUAAUACAUCGGAACGUACCCUGAAGUGGGGGAUAACGUAGCGAAAGUUACGCUAAUACCGCAUAUUCUGUGAGCAGGAAAGAGGGGGAUCGCAAGACCUCUUGCUUUAGGAGCGGCCGAUGUCGGAUUAGCUAGUUGGUGAGGUAAAGGCUCACCAAGGCGACGAUCCGUAGCGGGUCUGAGAGGAUGAUCCGCCACACUGGGACUGAGACACGGCCCAGACUCCUACGGGAGGCAGCAGUGGGGAAUUUUGGACAAUGGGCGCAAGCCUGAUCCAGCCAUGCCGCGUGAGUGAAGAAGGCCUUCGGGUUGUAAAGCUCUUUCGGUGGGGAAGAAAUGGCACGGGUUAAUACCCUGUGUUGAUGACGGUACCCGCAUAAGGAGCACCGGCUAACUACGUG